GGGGAUAGUGGCGGUGGCUUCGGCCACCUACCGAAAGGGCCAGUAAUACCCGAUGAUCUCCAGGAGUCUUCUGGCCUCUGGAGCAAAGGUGGGGAUCCUUCGGGACCUAUCGGCGGAGGAGCGGUCUACUUCCCAUCAGCUUGUUGGUGAGGUAAAAGCUCACCAAGGCGACGACGGGUAGCCGGCCUGAGAGGGUGAACGGCCUCACUGGGACUGAGACACUGCCCAGAGCCCUACGGGGUGCUGCAGUUUCGAAUCGUUCACAAUGCGCGAAAGCGUGAUGACGCGACGCCGCGUGCGGGAGGAAGGCCUUCGGGUUGUAAACCGCUUUUAGGGGGUACGAAGUGAACGGGGUCAAUAGCCCCGGGAUCUGACAUCAACCCCAGAAAAAGCUCCGGCUAACUUCGUGCCAGCAGCCGCGGUAAGACGAAGGGAGCGAGCGUUGUUCGGUAUCACUGGGCUUAAAGGGCACGUAGGCGGCUUGAUGUGUCGGUUGUGAAAUCCCUGGGCUCAACUCAGGAAUUGCUUCCGAAACUAUCAGGCUUGAGGCAUUCUGGGGGUGACUGGAACUCUUGGUGGAGCGGUGACAUGCGUAGAUAUCAAGAGGAACGCCGGUGGUGAGGACGGGUCACUGGGAAUGUCCUGACGCUGAGGUGCGAAAGCUAGGGGAGCGAACGGGAUUAGAUACCCCGGUAGUCCUAGCCGUAAACGAUGUGCACUAGGUCGCGGAGGUUCUGAUGCCGUCGCGGCCGGAGCAAAAGUGUUAAGUGCACCGCCUGGGGAGUACGGUCGCAAGGCUAAAACUCAAAGGAAUUGACGGGGACUCACACAAGCGGUGGAGCAUGUGGCUCAAUUCGAAACAACGCGAAGAACCUUAUCCUGGGCUUGACAUGCACGGAUGAAACCGGUGAAAGCCGGGGACUGCCUUUACGGGUGAAACGUGCACAGGUGCUGCAUGGCUGUCGUCAGCUCGUGCUGUGAAGUGUCGGGUUAAGUCCCUUAACGAGCGAAACCCUUGUCGCUAGUUGCCAGCGAGUCAUGCCGGGGACUCUAGCGAGACUGCCGGUGUUAAACCGGAGGAAGGUGGGGAUGACGUCAAGUCCUCAUGGCCUUUAUGCCCAGGGCUGCACACGUGCUACAAUGGGGCGGACAAAGGGUCGCCAACCCGCGAGGGGGAGCUAAUCCCAAAAACCGCCUCCCAGUCCGGAUUGCAGGCUGCAACUCGCCUGCAUGAAGUUGGAAUCGCUAGUAAUCGCAGAUCAGCUAUGCUGCGGUGAAUAUGUUCCUGAGUCUUGUAU
rnacentral:rRNA from 1 species